ACAAGAGCGAAAUCAACAACGUUUCUUUUCGACUGCCUGUUUUAGUCCAAAAUAAUCAGUUGAACGUGCAAGUUGUGGAUUAAGUUAUCGCGCACAAAUAAUAAAGCUAAAGAAAGGUACUAUUAUAUGUACUAAAUGUUCCGCUAUAUCA